CAGUAGCCGCGGUAAUGCGAAGGGGGCUAGCGUUGUUCGGAAUUACUGGGCGUAAAGCGCGUGUAGGCGGGCUUUUAAGUCAGGGGUGAAAUGCCAAGGCUCAACCUUGGAACUGCCUUUGAUACUGGAAGUCUUGAGUCCGGGAGAGGUGAGUGGAACUGCGAGUGUAGAGGUGAAAUCCGUAGAUAUUCGCAAGAACACCAGUGGCGAAGGCGGCCAUCUGGGACAACACUGACGCUGAGGCACGAAAGCGUGGGGAGCAAACAGGAUUAGAUACCCCAGUAGUCCCUGUCUCUUAUAC
rnacentral:rRNA from 1 species